GAUGAACGCUAGCUACAGGCUUAACACAUGCAAGUCGAGGGGCAUCAUGACUGAGGUUUACCUUAGUUGAUGGCGACCGGCGAAUGGGUGAGUAACACGUAUCCAACCUGCCCGUUACUGGAGGAUAGCCCUCCGAAAGGAGAAUUAAUACUCCAUGUUGUGCUGAAUUCGCAUGUUUUCGGCACUAAAGAUUCAUCGGUAACGGAUGGGGAUGCGUCCGAUUAGGUAGUAGGCGGGGUAACGGCCCACCUAGCCUUCGAUCGGUAGGGGUUCUGAGAGGAAGGUCCCCCACAUUGGAACUGAGACACGGUCCAAACUCCUACGGGAGGCAGCAGUGAGGAAUAUUGGUCAAUGGGCGAAGAGCCUGAACCAGCCAAGUAGCGUGCAGGAUGACGGCCCUAUGGGUUGUAAACUGCUUUUAUAAGGGAAUAAAGUGAGUCUCGUGAGACUUUUUGCAUGUACCUUAUGAAUAAGGACCGGCUAAUUCCGUG
rnacentral:rRNA from 1 species